rnacentral:rRNA from 1 species
UACCAGCACCCCCGAGUGGUCGGGACGAUUAUUGGGCCUAAAGCAUCCGUAGCCGGUUUUACAAGUCCUCCGUUAAAUCCAGCUGCUUAACAGAUGGGCUGCGGAGGAUACUAUAAGACUAGGAGGCAGGAGAGGCAAGCGGUACUCAGUGGGGUAGGGGGUAAAAAUCCGUUGAUCCAUUGAAGACCACCAGUGGCGAAGGCGGCUUGCCAGAAUGCGCUCGACGGUGAGGGAUGAAAGCUGGGGGGAGCAAACCGG